rnacentral:rRNA from 1 species
UACGUAGGGUGCGAGCGUUGUCCGGAAUUACUGGGCGUAAAGCGUGCGCAGGCGGUUCGUUAAGUUCGUUGUGAAAGCCCCGGGCUCAACCUGGGAACUGCAAUGGAAACUGGCGGGCUUGAGUGUGGCAGAGGGGGGUGGAAUUCCGCGUGUAGCAGUGAAAUGCGUAGAGAUGCGGAGGAACACCGAUGGCGAAGGCAGCUCGCUGGGACGUUACUGACGCUGAGACGCGAAAGCGUGGGGAGCAAACAGG